rnacentral:rRNA from 1 species
UAGCUAAUCCUGGUCGGACAUCAGGAGGUUAGUGCAAUGGCAUAAGCUAGCUUGACUGCGAGCGUGACGGCGCGAGCAGGUGCGAAAGCAGGUCAUAGUGAUCCGGUGGUUCUGAAUGGAAGGGCCAUCGCUCAACGGAUAAAAGGUACUCCGGGGAUAACAGGCUGAUACCGCCCAAGAGUUCAUAUCGACGGCGGUGUUUGGCACCUCGAUGUCGGCUCAUCACAUCCUGGGGCUGAAGUAGGUCCCAAGGGUAUGGCUGUUCGCCAUUUAAAGUGGUACGCGAGCUGGGUUUAGAACGUCGUGAGACAGUUCGGUCCCUAUCUGCCGUGGGCGCUGGAGAAUUGAGGGGGGCUGCUCCUAGUACGAGAGGACCGGAGUGGACGCAUCACUGGUGUUCGGGUUGUCAUGCCAAUGGCACUGCCCGGUAGCUAAAUGCGGAAGAGAUAAGUGCUGAAAGCAUCUAAGCACGAA